CCUACGGGGGGCAGCAGUGGGGAAUAUUGGACAAUGGGCGAAAGCCUGAUCCAGCCAUGCCGCGUGUGUGAAGAAGGCCUUCGGGUUGUAAAGCACUUUCAGUGGGGAAGAAAGCCUUGGGGCUAAUACCCUCGAGGAAGGACAUCACCCACAGAAGAAGCACCGGCUAACUCCGUGCCAGCAGCCGCGGUAAUACGGAGGGUGCGAGCGUUAAUCGGAAUUACUGGGCGUAAAGCGCGCGUAGGCGGUCUGAUAAGCCGGUUGUGAAAGCCCCGGGCUCAACCUGGGAACGGCAUCCGGAACUGUCAGGCUAGAGUGCAGGAGAGGAAGGUAGAAUUCCCGGUGUAGCGGUGAAAUGCGUAGAGAUCGGGAGGAAUACCAUUGGCGAAGGCGGCCUUCUGGACUGACACUGACGCUGAGGUGCGAAAGCGUGGGUAGCAAACAGGAUUAGAUACCCAGUAGUC
rnacentral:rRNA from 1 species